GUGCCAGCAGCCGCGGUAAUACGAAGGGGGCUAGCGUUGCUCGGAAUCACUGGGCGUAAAGGGCGCGUAGGCGGCCAUUCAAGUCGGGGGUGAAAGCCUGUGGCUCAACCACAGAAUUGCCUUCGAUACUGUUUGGCUUGAGUUUGGUAGAGGUUGGUGGAACUGCGAGUGUAGAGGUGAAAUUCGUAGAUAUUCGCAAGAACACCAGUGGCGAAGGCGGCCAACUGGACCAACACUGACGCUGAGGCGCGAAAGCGUGGGGAGCAAACAGGAUUAGAUACCCGCGUAGUCC
rnacentral:rRNA from 1 species